rnacentral:lncRNA from 1 species
GUAUUUUCUAGUGAUUUCCUAAACAAAACACUCACAGGUUUAUGUUAAUAGACUCUGCUCCCCCAUACAGGAGUCAAGGUGAUUUUUUCCAAAACACAAACUGACCAUAUAUCACCACUUUUGAGAGCCCUUGUAUUCAUUCCUAUUUGCAAAUAUUCCAAGCUCUAUCAUGGCAUUUUGUAGAUUAGGUAAUCUUUGUCACACACAUGUCCAGAUUCAUUUCCUCCAUUCGUGUGUUCUAGGUGAGCCAUGAUACAAUGAUAGCUAACUCAUUGUACUAUUCUGACUGAUGCCUUAUCAAAUCUCUGCUUAUUUUGUAAUGUUCAUUAAUGAACUUUGGAAUCCUUCUCCGACACUGCGAUCAGAAACUACGGUUGUACCUCCAAUGCUUUGCACAGUGCUUGUUGACAGAAGUAACCAGAAAAUGCUUGUUAAAUGAAUGUGUAAUACUGCGGAGAAAGAGGGACAAAAAGAAGAUGUGGGGGGAUUAUAUAUCUAUCUUAUAUACACUUUGUUACAUAUUCUAUUUGGAAUCAGGCAU